UCUGUCCAAUCACUGCUCACUUCAGGCUGAGGAUUUUUGGACCUCGACCAAGAAAGUGAUCUUGUCUGGAGCUUAAAGACACUUCAUACAGCUUUGCAGACAACAGAUGCCACACGCAGAAAUAGCUGUGGCAGGAACAGUAAAUUCUCCAGCCUUUAAAUCAGGUAUUGUUCCCGCUGUAAAGACCUGCAGGAGACUGAGGACGCAGCAGCUCUGGCGGAUUUACAAGAGACCUGGAGGACUGUGUGUGGCCUGACACUCAGCAGAGCUGGUUAAAUUCAUCCGGGCUCGUCUGUGAAGAGAGGGAGGAUGAGACACUAAAGAAAGACAUAAAAACUCUGACUGCAGUGCAGAUGGCUGCCGGAUCUUCACAUCCACCAUCCACAGACUAAAUGGGGCUUUAAUGAUGUCACUUCUGCCACUUCUUAGGGGACCAGCAGAGCUUUAGUGAAUUAAUCUGGGAAAAGUGAAUAAUAGACAUUUACAUUUACUGCAUGCUUUCAGAAAAAAAAAAAAAAAAAACGAAAAAA